GGUUUAUUGGUGAUUCCAGUUUUCUCCUCUGGGGGUUGUUGAUAGGCUUUUGUCAUUUUUCUGUUUUUCUUAAUUGUAUCUAGGAAUUCUUUACACAGAGAUGCCACAAAGUUUAACUUUGGCCUCAGUACUCAGGAAAAGAUAUACUUGGUUUCAGCCUUGGCUUCAGGCUUUGAAAGACAGAGUAACAAAUAGCUACUUCUUUUCUGGCCCCUUCAUCAUCUGCUUGUUCAAUGGAGGUAGGACCACUCAAAUUACGAACAAGGUGUAGCCCUCGAAUUGGCUAUUAACAUCUGAAUACAUACUAAGUAUUCAUUUUCAAACUUAGGAGAGCAGUCUAGAUGUAACUUGGAAUAAAAACCUCCAUGGGCUUCUACAGGCUGUUAAAAUAUAAGCAUAUUUAUGUGUUUCAAUAAUAAAAUGUUGAAAUAUGCUGAUUUUGAAAGCUGUUAAUUUGCUGUACAAAAAUUAUUAAGAACUUUCAAACAGUUAAACAAUGUUAGCAGUUAUUAGGAAUAAGAGAGAGUGCAUUAGAUAGAUAACACUAACAAGAACAUAAUAUCCGUUUUCAGCCAGCAAAUGUUUAUAAAAUUUUAAAUGCUAAUAAAACAGGAGAAUAAUAGAAAUUAGAUUAUAUCACAAUGCUAAUCUUUAGAAGCAUUAAGAGCUAUAUUUAAUUUUUUGUUAUUUAAUUCAGCUUAGGCCAGAGUCUUUCAAGAAAAAAAGUCUUAUUAGAGAAGUCUUCAUAUCUCGUGAGGAUGAAUUAAAAGCAGAAUCUCAACUUUGCUACCUUUAAAUGUCACGGAGAGAAAAAACUGCAAAACCAUGUGCAACAAUAUCCAUGAUAAAUCAUCUUUGAUCUCAACAUAACGGAGACUAUAAGGAGUAUAAAGACUAGAAGAAAGAGUAGAAGGUGAUCCACAAUCAAUUCAGAACCUGGUCUUCUAUGGUGGCUCACAGUUCCUGCACCCUACAAUAUCGUGCACCUCUCUCUAAAUCUACUGAAACGUGCAGCCUUCUUUUGGAAGAGAAAGAUUCUGAUAUUCAUUAACAAUUAAAUGAAUCUUCAAGAAGCCCAAAUAGUGAUUAUAUUUGAAUAAAUAUUUUAAUGGGAAAAAUAAGGGGGAAGGACUACACUCCUUGCUUCCUUUGGAUUUGAACUUGGCCUGGUGACUUGCCUGAGCCAGUGUGACAGAUGAGAAAGCAGAUGCCACAGACUACUUUGGUGCCUUGUUUUUCCUCCAUCAGACUGGCUCUUAGUAUUUCAGAUGGUGGAAGCUCUGUGAGUCUGGAUUUGAGUAAGUAUCACAUAGAGUGGGGCCUCAAGCUGGUCUAUGAAAGGACAAGGAUCAAUAAAUUAACCUAUGUUUCAGCAACAGAGUUUGGACGUAGCUGUUUCUACAGUGUAACUUAGCCCAUCCCAUCCAACACAGUGGGCAUGCUGAAAAUGAGUAUAUUCAUUUGCUGGGGCUGUCAUAACAAGAUACCACAGACUGAGUGGUUCAAACAGCGGACACUUACUGUUUCAUAGUUCUGAAAGACAGAAGUCCAAGAUUAAAGUGUCUGUAGGGUUGAUUUCUUCUGAGGCCUCUCCUUUUCUUGCAAUUGGUCACAUACUCGCUAUGUUCUCAGGUGAUCAUUCCUCUGUGCAGGAGAAUAUGUGGUUUCUGUGUGUUUGAAUUUCCUUUUUUAAAAGUCAAACUAGAUUAGGGCCCACCCUAUUGUCCUCAUUUUAACAUAAUCACCUCUUUAAAGGCCUUAUCUCCAAAUAUAGUUGCAUUCUGAGUUAUUGGGGUUUAGGACUCCAACAUAUGAAGUUUGGAGCAACACAGUUUCAUCCAUAACAGUGAAAAAUAUCAUAAUCUGUUUAAGAUGUUGAGAAACAUAUGAACAAGUGAAGGCAAUAGAAGCAAUAAAUUGGUUUGGUUGUCUGCCCUGGUCUCCAUCAGAAAGUAAAGCUAUGACUUGAGAAGUUUUAAUUUGAUUUAUUGGAUUAGUUUUAGUUUUGCUUCCUGCCUAUUGCUGUUUAAGAAAAUGCUGGAGAUAGGUGGCGCGGUGGCUCACGCCUGUAAUCCCAGCACUUUGGGAGGCUGAGGCCAGCGGAUCACGAGGUCAGGAGAUCGAGACC
rnacentral:lncRNA from 1 species